GUCGUUUCAGUGACGCAUAAGCUCUUUCUUUAACAUCGCAUUACUCGUCUCGUACGUGACAUCUUGACGUCAUUCUGGUUUCCAUUCAAAGAAGAGUUGAUCUCGAAGAAGCUUUUUUCUAGUGUUAACAGUUUUUUCAUAAACAGCGCUGUAGAAAUGUCUAAAUAUUGUACAUGGAAUGUCUCUUGUAACGUUUACGUUAAAAUUUCCGUAAAUUGUCAUCGAAUAAAAACAAAAAAGAGGCAGAUUAUCAAUUCUGCAUUGCGAAGAUGAUUACGAAGUAGAUGUGGGUAUGGAUGAGGGGCAGUGAUUUCUCCAACAAGAUGGCGCGCCACCACAUUAUGACCUUCCUCUUGGAGUUUAUUUAAACCAAUUAUUUCCCAAUUGAUGGAUUGGGAGAAGAGGAACAAUUGAUCUGACUGUAAUAUCACCAGACUUGACUGCCAGACUUCUUCCUUUAAGUUCAUACCACUGGACCAAAUACUCUGGAUGAACAAAAAAUCAGAACACAAGAAGAAUCAGAAGUUCAGCAAAUAAUUCUUGAUACCUUAGGGAAUUGUUAAGAAGAAUUUAAAAAUCGUUUAGGAGCUGCCCAAGGUGAGAACACCCUUCUAAAAGUAUAGAUAGUACCACUUUGUCUCAGUUGUGCACCAGUUGAUUAUGCACUGAAAUUACAAACACCUUCAAGACAGUUAUUUUGAUUAGCAAUAUAAUGACACCAACUAUGGUUUUCCUGUAAUCUAACUUUUGAAGACAAUUCCUCAGUUUAACAGCUUGUGGGCGUAUUGCAUGGAUUUAAGAUCGUCAAUCAUUGUGCAACUAAAAUGGGACCAUUACGUUGAUAGUAAAUAUUUUGUCUGAUAUUCAAUGGAACUUCUUUCAGUAGGUCUAUCAAAUUAAUUACGAAAAAGGAAAAUUGAUGUUGAACAUGACUUUCCACUGUCACAUGUGGGUUAUUAUCAGACCAAUAUAAAUUUGUAUAUUAUUUCCACAAUAUACUGCUGAGAUAUCUUAAUGAUUUCAUAUUUGUGAUAUGUAGUUAGGAACCAGUCUUUUAUGGCUGUGCUAUUGAUAGGUAGACAAGUGUUCUACAAAGAAUAAUUGUCACAGAGCUUCAGAAUAAUUCUUUGUGGAAUGCAUGUGUACGUGCAACCUGUACAUGUUGGAAUCUGUUUUCUGAUAAUUUGUUUUCUUAAAGUAUCUAAAAUGUAACUCUUCCUUAUAACUCUGAAAAUAGAAAUAGAAAUAAAUAUCGAAAACUCA